UAAGACGCUUGUUUAAUAGUUAAAAUACUUCUGAAUUGAAUAUUACAACAUGAAGCAGCACAAGCUGUCUGCAAAAAAACGCCUUACAAAGCCGCUUCUCUUCGGCGCACUGAUCGCAGGACUUGCAACAGCGUUCUAUAACAGGCACUUGUUCUUUGAAGAUGUGGACGAUCUUCGAGCUCAAGAACGAGCUCGUAAUGAUGCCAAACGCUUAGAGGUGUUAGAAAGGAGGCAGAAACAAAUAGAAGAGCUGGUGGAGAAGAAAAAUGCAGGAAACAGUUGAAAUCAGACUUCUUCUGAAGCAAGGACAGGACAUUUCUGCUCACCUGGUCUGAAGGCAGGAAAACAGGAUGUCCACAAUCUCACUAUUAAAAAACAAAACAAAUCAAAACAAACAAAAAAACAAAACAAAACAAACAAAAACAACACUUUCUGUUGUUUUCUUUGCAAAAUUGGAGCUACACAAGAUACAGGACGUUUACUCAGAAAACUACCCUUGCUGUGGAAGGAAUAAAAAAUGACCCCUGUGUUUUUGUGGACAAUAUAAUUCCAGUGAACUACUUUGUCUGUAUGAGGAGAUGAUUGAACAUCACUGUCUAACAAACGACCGAGAAGUUAGAAAAGAAGGACCUAAACGAAUAGCUAUAAUCUGACAGUAUUUGUAUUUACUACACACAGUUGUGUUGCCUACUUAUUGUCAAAUUCCUAAAGAAUUGAUUGCACAAGUUCAUACACUGCUUUUUGUCUGUCACAAUAGCACACAAUGAGUGUCCUUAUCUUUAGUCCAGUACCUGCCAAGUGUCACAUUGUCUGCCUUUGUAUAAAAGAAAAUUAAAUACAUUAUA